AGAAGCCUGGGGGAGAUGGGGUUCUCUGGUAUGAGUCCCAGAGAUGGAAGUCUAGGACUUCCAAUUUACUGUCUGUGGGAAAAGAUGGGUGUCCUCAGCUCAAGAAGAGUGGACAUGUGUCCUUGUGACCUUUUGUUGUGUUUGAGCCUUCUUUGCCUUGGGUGACCUCUCUUUACAUUGUGGAGAGUAGAUGACGGUUACCCCAGUUUCUGCCAACACAGCCUCUCAGAGCACCGGCUGUCUGGACCUCCUUUAGCCCUGUUGUGUAGACAUGAGCCAAUAACAGAGUGAGGGGCCGCAGCAGGCUUCAGAGGGCACUGAGGAGCCUGUCUCCUGUUCUCUUGACAGAAGUAAGUGGGGUCCCAAUAGGAGAAGGAGCAGUGCAGUUUACUGUAUUCCUGCAUUUUAGGGAGCACGGUUCUGGGCCUUUGUUGCAAGGUCUCGCUGAUGUCGAUUGUUCAUGUGCGGUGCUCUGUGGGUCACCAAUGCUGUGGCUGCUGCUUAGGCUCUGACCCCGCCUUCUCUCUGAAGUGUCACGCCUUCCUCUGUGCUGAUUGUAUGUAUGCAAGACCAAAGUGAACACACCUCUUCCUCAUUGUUUCCUUCCUUGAGGCUGAGGUGAUAGUAAUUUUGUUAAAAGCCUUCGUUUGAAAUAAUCAGCCAUCACUUUGGAUUCCAUUCUCUCCUUUGCAGAAUGAAUGAUUCGGAUCUUGUUAAAGUGUUAAUCACCUACAAUGUCCUGGCACUUUCUUGUGUCUUUAAAUCUGUUUUUGGCUUCUUUAAAAUUCACACUCUGCUUAAGUUAAGCCAGGACAUGUUCUGUGUUUCAACUGGCAAUAUUUAGGGUUUACUGGAGGGAAGGCUAUUCAUUUUUUUUUUUUUGUAAUAUCUCUUAACUGUGCGAGUAUUCUACCAAACACACAAAUGUGGACACACAACCUUACCCAAGAGUCGGGGUCAUCUGUCCCUAGUAAUGUAAGCUGCUUGCUUGCUGCGUAGUUGCCAUGAGACUGCUUUGCUUCCAUUGUGUUACCCCCUUCCUUGUCUAGGAAACAGGAGGCUCAGUAAAGAAUGAACACGGUGUGUUGUUGACUUAUUUUGUUCUUAGAGUAUGGUAAUGGGCUGUGUUCUUUGCAGUUUGGUGUAGCUGAGCCCAGGAAGAAGGCGUAUGCAGAUUUCUACAGGGAUUAUGACUCCAUGAAGGACUUCGAAGAGAUGAAGGCGGCUGGAAUCUUCCAGAGUACAAAGUGACUUCAGAAUGUACAGAAUUCUUUGGAUUGCACUCGAUAGAAGUUCAUCGCUGACCUAUGUUCCUGAACUAUGAAACGGGAAUAUGUGGACUAAGGAGUAAUUUAUCUCAAUAAACAAUGAACAAUUUUAUGGAUAGCAUUGAACCCAGGGCCUGGUGCAGCCCUCGAGUAAGAGCUCUAUGACUGCUAACAUCCAGUGUAUAAAAUUAAAAGGCAAGUUUGAUCAGUGGUUAUCCUUACUCUGUUUAACUUGUGUAAGACUCAGUGAGUGGGCUGUAUUAAAAUAAGGUACCAUUGAAAACCUUCGAACUAAAAACUCAAAACAGACAUUUAUCCAUGGUCAGUAAUUCAGGAAUACCUUUUAUUUAUAUAAUUUGCUAGCAAUAUGUAAAAUUACUGUAAGUCAUACAAUCAGUACAUAUUUACAUUCUUAAAAAUAAUUAUUCUUGAAGUUGACAAAAAUGUUGCUUUCCUAAAUGAGUAACAGACUAAUUGCAGAGAUGGUUUCAUAUUUGGCUUGAAUUGUCCACCAGUGACUUUUGUUUUCCAGCAGUGGUGACAUAGUGGGGAUGUGUGCCCAACAGACUUGAGAGUUGAAGGUCAGUUGCCUUUAAAUGGCACUGUCUUACUUAACUGUCACUUUUCAGUUGAAGGGAACAAGUUGCAGGCCUAUGCAUGAGACCACGAGGUAGUCACUGAACAUUGUAAGAUAGCUGGAGCCUUUCUUAGAUGUUAAUGCUUUAUCAAGUUAGUUCAUAGAGGACUGCCUUGACUGAUGGCAUUGCUAGCCUUCAUGUUGGAGGCAGGGUUUCUCUGUGUAGCCCUGGCUGUCCUGGAACUCACUCUGUAGACCAGGCUGGCCUCGAACUCACAGAGAUCUGCCUGCCUCUGCCUCCCCAGUGCUGAGACUAAAGGUGUGCACCACCACGGCUUAGCAGUGUUGGGGUUCUUCACCUCCAUAUACUACGGAGUUCUAGAACCAAAUAAACUUAAAAGCAUUGUGUUCUGUUCUUGUUGGUAGACACAAAAUGUUACUUUUUAGCUUGGUAAAAAAUAAGCUUUCCAAAAUACACCUGAGCAGUUAAAAGUCUGUUUUAUAAAUUAGUAGAAUGCAGACUUUGAGGGUAAUAUACAUUGCUUUUACUGAAAGAAUGGUAUUGUAGUUGAGUGAAAAAUUAAACAAGUCAAACAACAACAGUCUUAAGUAUUACAAAGGUGGUGGUGGUUUGUUUCUGUGUCUGUAUGCUAGGGCCUGUCCACAUUUUACCAUAUGUCAGAGCAUUAGUAGUUUGAAAUUACAGUGAAAACUUCUGCAAAUAGCAUAGAACAAAAAAAAAAAAAAAAAAAAAAAAUUUCCUGUGUAUGG